CGAUUGGAUAGCAUCUUUGGAUGUGAAACUCGCCUGUAAUCCCGGCAUCAUCGCGCAAGCGGUGUGGCGACUGCUCUUGCUGCUGCGGCAGCAAUCUU
ncrna:unclassified sequences DTF3577 RNA